UCCCUGAGGGAGCUCCAUCCCUGAACAGAACGAUACGGUAAGUCUUGAUGGUCUGAAUUUUACAGCUAGCUUUAAACCUGUGUUCGAUAAUUCCUUAGGGAUGGAAGGAGAUGGCUCAAAACUUCUCUGGACCAAAGUCACCACAAAGUUAUUGGCUUCAACACAGAAGCUUCCCCCAGUGACAUGUCGCAACCUAAGCAAACAACUGGCAGCUUCAGCAGACGGCUUACAAGCGCAAAAGAGAGAAAAUCACCAUAUGCGAUUCGAAACAAAGGUUUAAAAGUGAAGGCCGAAGGACCUAGCGGAGUUUCUAUUCGGGAGGCAAUGGCGGAAGUUGGUACAAAUAUCCAGCAACCUCAACCUACGCCCAGGAAUGGUGAAGCUCAGGAAGACAGUGCCAAACGCACUUGUUAAGGUUACCCUCUUUUAUCUUUCUUAUGGAUUUUACGCUUAUGACGUGGAAUUGUCAGGGAUGUGGCGGAACCAAGUUCCCGAGAAUCUUGAAAGAGUAUAUCCAAGAGCACAAACCCCCAAUGGUUGCCCUUCUUGAAACUCGUACAAGUGGCCUGAAGGCUGACCAAGUGAUCGCAAAAAUUGGUUUUAAUAACUCCUUCAGAGUGAAAGCUUACGAAUUUUUAGGAGGAAUUUGGCUCUUGUGGAACGAUCCCUCCUUGUUAAAGUGAAGGUUUUCCACUUCCAAUUUGUCCAGGUUCAAGUUAAUUGGCCUAAUUCUUCUUUUUCUAUUAACAUUGUCUAUGGAAGUCCUGAUAGGAAUAAAAGAAGGAAUCUUUGGCGUGAUUUAAGUAACUCCCAGGACACCGACAAAGAGCCGUGGAUCCUUGCCGGUGACUUCAAUGCAAUCUUGUCCAGUGAGAAGAAGAUGGGUGGCAGCCACAGAGGCAGGGGUUGCAAGGCGUCCCAGGACUUUCUCAACGACCAUCAGCUGAAAGACUUGGGUUUCAAAGGCCCCCUUCAGUUGGACCCGUGGUGGCAUUUUCGAGAGACUUGAUCGUAUGGUAACUAACGAUAGUUGGAUUCAGUUAGCGCCAAAUUACACGGUGAAACACCUCCCGAGGAUCAAAUUGGACCAUCGGCCGAUUCUCCUUAGUACCACAGGUGAUUCGGGACCUUCUCGACCCCAGCCUUUUCGUUUUCUUGCAGGGUGGACUAAACAUCCCCAAUUCAGCAAGCUGGUUAACGACAAUUGGCAACACGUAGGUAAUAUCCCCCAUUCUAUUAAUAAUUUCACAAAAAUUCUUAACGUUUGGAACAGGGAGGUGUGGAAUAUCACGUUGGAGAAGAGGAAACUCAAAAAUCAGCUUGCUAACAUUCAAGCCAAACUGGAUCGAUCCAACAACAUUCACCUAGCUGACAAAGAGCUUGAAGUCCGCACAAAGCUGGAAGAAGUCCUCGACCAUGAAGAGCUCAUUUGGCGCCAAAAGUCAAGAAGCGAUUGGAUCAUCGAUGGUGACAGGAAAACCAAAAUUUUUCAUAGCCAAGCCCUGAGCAGACGUAAAGCCAAUCGUAUUCAAGCCCUCAAGUUAAGGAAUGGCGAGUGGUGUUAUGAUGAUGAUAUCCUUCGCAACGUGGCCAUCUCCUUCUUUCUCUUUACAGAGAGGACGGUGAUCGGUCAGGUAAGUUUCCAAUUUGGAAUGCCUUUCCUAGAUUAUCGCAGAAGGACCAGAUACCUUGACGCUACCGUCACUGAUGAAGAAUCAAGAAAGCUCUCUUUGACAUGAGCCGCCUUAAAGCUUCGGAGAAAGAUGACCUUCAUGCCAUAUGUUUUCAGAAUCAAUGGGAUACGGUUGGUCCCUCUAUUUGUUACUGGGUGAAAGGUAUUUUCAACGGUAAUCCUAUAGAUCCCGAGUUUAAUAAAACUUUACUUGUUCUGAUUCCUAAAACUGACAAUCCGGAGUCCUAUGCUGAUUUUCGUCCAAUUAGUUUUGCUCUGUUUAUAUAAGCUUGUUAUGAAGGUUAUCGCUAACAGGUUCAAAGCAAUUUUCUCAAAAAUAAUUGCUCCGAAUCAAGCUAGUUUUAUUGCAGGCAGAAAUAUAACUGACAAUAUUCCUGGUGGCCCAAGAAGCAAUCCAUUCCAUGAGCAAGAAAAAAGGUAAAACCCAGUGGAUGACGGUCAAAGUCGAUCUGGAGAAAGCCUAUGAUCGCGUCGGAUGGGAUUUUCUUGAGGAUUCUCUCGAGGACAUGGGGUGUCUGAGGAACAUUCGUCGUAUUAUCAUGGAAGUUGUGACCACAUCCUCUAUGUAAAUUCUCUGGAACGAAUCGCUUACCGAGGAGUUUAAGCCUACGAGGGACAUCCGGCAGGGAUGUGCUCUAUCUCCUUAACUUUUUGUGCUGUGUAUCGAGAGGCUUGGCCAAAGUAUCAACUACACCAUGGACAACAACCUUUGGGAACCCAUGAUUAUAUCUCGAGGUAGCCCUCCCCUCUCUCAUCCCUUUUUCGCUGAUGAUCUCAUCUUAUUUUGCAGAGCCACUCACCAUCAAGCUAAUUUGGUGGGAGCCAUCUUAGACCAGUUCUGCAGAUUCUCGGGGUAUAGAGUCAAUUCCAACAAAACAAAGGUCUUAUUCUCUGCCAUCACUGAUCCUGAGGUGGCUACUGCUCUCUGUAACUCGCUUGGUUUUCAAUCCUCAACAGACCUCGGGAAGUACCUCGGAAUGCCGCUCUUCCACAGGAGAGUUACUAAGAGUACAUUUCAGUUCAUAAUUGACAAAACCGUGGGUAUUCCGAAGGGCGUGUGCAAUCAGCUUGAACAAAUUGUUCGUCGCUUUAUUUGGUGAGGGACGACAACCAACCCUAAAAUGGCCAUAGUAAGCUGGGAGACUUGCUGUCAACCCCAUAAGAAUGACAGAGUUGGUCGUCGCCUUUAUGAGCUCAGAAUGAAGUGUUCCCAAUCAAACUAGGAUACAACUUUCUCAUGAGACCGGACACGAUUUGGAAUAAAAUCAUGAAGGCCAAAAGCAAGUCUGAUGGAUUCGAUGCCUCUGCCCAUCAACGGGAAGAAUGGAUCCUUUGUUUGGAAGUCUCUCGCCAAAUUUUGGGCGCAUGUUCGGUGUUAUUCCAGAGACCAAAGAGACCAAUCCUCAAGCAGUUGUUCGUGAUUUUACCACCGAGAGGGGGGAAUGGAACCUGCCCGUCCUUCGCCGUAGUGUUGGGUAUUCCCCUCCCCCCCGGUCUGACGAUAUUGGCGAUGAUCUUCCCCUUUGGAAAUGGGACGGGACGGGUAUUUGUCCACCAAGUCCGCUUUUAACUUGCUAAACAAAGACAGUUGGGAACUUAGAAAUGAGAAAUGGAAUAUGG